rnacentral:sRNA from 1 species
GCCGGGCAUGGUGUCACAUUCCUGUAAUCCCAGGGGCUUGGGAGGCUGAGGUAGGAGGAUCACAAGUUCAAAACCAGAGCCUCAGCAACUUAACGAGGUCUUAAGCAACUUAGUAAGACCCUGUCUCAA